GUCCAGACUCCUACGGGAGGCAGCAGUAGGGAAUCUUCCACAAUGGACGAAAGUCUGAUGGAGCAACGCCGCGUGAGUGAAGAAGGGUUUCGGCUCGUAAAGCUCUGUUGGCAGGGAAGAAAGAUAGAGGGAGUAACUGGCCUUUAUUUGACGGGAAUUACUUAGAAAGUCACGGCCAACUACGUGCCAGCAGCCGCGGUAAUACGUAGGUGGGAAGCGUUGUCCGGAUUUAUUGGGUUUAAAGGGUGCGUAGGCGGAAUGCCAAGUCAGCGGUAAAAUCGGGGGGCUCACCCGCGCUCCGCCGUUGAAACUGGCGUUCUUGAGUGGGCGAGAAGUAUGCGGAAUGCGUGGUGUAGCGGUGAAAUGCAUAGAUAUCACGCAGAACUCCGAUUGCGAAGGCAGCAUACCGGCGCCCAACUGACGCUGAAGCACGAAAGCGUGGGUAUCGAACAGGAUUAGAUACCCUAGUA
rnacentral:rRNA from 1 species